rnacentral:lncRNA from 1 species
UUGACUUCAUUGCGGCUACAUUUUGCUACAUUUGGGUAAUUAGUCGGACCGUCUGCCACACAUCGUUCACACGGGGAAGUUAGGGGCUCACGGAAGACGCUGAGACUUGUGUACGGGGACAUGUUGGCUCACGUAUCAAGAUAUCCUCUUAGGAUGCCAAUGAGGAUGCUGCCCGGAAGUCGUGGAGGACAGCCUACACACCAAGAUCGCUUUAUUUUACAAGGAGCGGCUGUCCUUGUUGGCUUGGGCCUCUGCAUCUCCUCAUUCUCUCUAAAAAAACUAUCAGCCAUGCCACACAAACCAAGACGUCUUAUUUAAGGAUUGGAAUAUGAUAUGUUGACUAUUUGUAAAGGCCAGCAUUGGCACAUUUUACAAAAAAGUGAAGCAUUAAU